GGAAUGAUUUAUCCUAGCAAAUUGUUGAGGUGUGUGCGCUAUUUAUCAAAGACUACAUGCUGGCCUCGUCAACAAUGUUCAAACUUCAUUCAGCCCUCGGUGAGGACGUCAUUACUUAACAGAAGCCAGCUGGACACGCGCAGCACAGAUGGUACUCUGAGCCCGGUAGGAGGAAGGAAGAACGGUAAAUUUUGAAGGGGGAAAGCGUUCUGCCUUCUACACAACGGAAGUAUGCCGAAACACAUGUGGGAAGGGAGAGAGAUAUUAUUUUAUAAACAGCAUGCGAAUGUGUGCAUAA